CAUUAGAACUCCGUAGUGUUUAAAAUGUACCUUACGCAAACGUAUAAAAGCACACGAUGUUAAAUGAAACUUCUCUAGCGGCAACUUGUUGAUCCUCCAGCUUUGCUUCAGAUGAUCGUCACUGGGGAGGAGGGAAAAGAGGAGCCGGUGAAUAAAUGGCAGCUGUACAAUAUUUAGCUUUUACUGUCUCAUUUAUCUCCGUUCUGGUUGUCCGAAAGAUGAUAGACCGUAACCGGACCGUAACUUGAUUCCAAGACAUUUCAGUAUUAUGGCCAUGGAGGUUGGAAGAAGCAGAGAAUGAGGUAGAACAUGCUAGUACUCAAGAUACUCUUGAGUGACCAACCACAUAGAAAGAUGAAUUUAAGGUCUUGCAAAGAAGGGGACGGAGCAUAUGAUGUCAUUUACCUUUUGGAAGUCAUCUGGUUACAUGAUGCGCCAUCAUUAGUGGCCUUCAAGUCAUAAUGUGGAAAUAAUAGAGACGCAAAGAAACAUUUCUCCAAAAGAUUGGAAGCUUAAUUGCAGAAAAUCUGAUCGUCUUAUUUUAAAAAAGUACACGAUCAAGACCACGGAAUGUCUCAUCUAGACUUGUGCACUUUCCCUUAACGGAUUUAUCUUUAUUAAAAAUUGCAAUGGUCCGAGGUAACCGUUAUAGAAAUGAAAUGGCUGAGAAGAAGCUAAAGGGAACUGGUGAAGAGUAGAGAUAGAGAUAAGUGCAUGUGGGGCUGAAGGGAUACUAUAGGGAAUUUUUAAUACUAUUUCCAGGACUCGGAUAUGACCUCCUGCUGGGAUGUACUCCAAGUCAGUUGUAAGAUCGCCAGUACUGUGUUUCUCCCAUAAAUGGAAACUUGGAAUAAUUUGCAUGUGCAUAAUACUACAUAUCACCUUGUACUCUUUCCUUCUUGUGACUGAAAUGGUUACCAUUUGUGCUGUGUAUGCAUAUACUGAUGUUAUUCCAUUAAUACAUCUGUUCUAUUAGAUAUUCUAUCCUGGUGGUUAUUGGCCUUUCAAACUUUUUUUAAAUGUAUGAAGUGUUUUCCAGUUUCCAAUAGGCAUUUGUUCCCAUGCUUUCUGGUUGAUUCCUUAAUGAUUUAUCUCUUGAUGCAUUAUUAAUGUGCAGGAUUCUCUGAACCUCUUCAGUUGUUGCAUUCCGUAUUGCUUCCCCAACAUAUUCUGUAAGAAUUCUCUAGUUUUUACUUUUUCUCUUCCCAAAAGACUCGAACCAUUGCCUUUGCUGUACUACCUUGUCUCUGUCUUAUACUUUUUCCCUUUCACAUCGUAUUGUAGGGACUUCUUCUUUCACCCAUUUGGUGGAGGAUGAUGGGAACAAAUGUGGAGGUUACUAAAUAAAAAUCUGACUAUCCUUAACCUACUUUAUUAACUUAACCUACAGAAUUGUAACAACCUAGAUUAUCACUCUUAAUACUGCAACAACCAUCAAAAAGAAUCUCCCUGAAAUACAUCAACCUAAAUCUAACACGGACAACAAAAGGUACCCUAACCUAAUUCAUCAACCUAAUUAUACAAUGGCUACCAAAAAGAACCUUAAACCUAAUUCCAGAACACUAAUCUAACUCGUCAACUUUAGGUUACAACGCCCUCUAAAAUGAACCUUGACCCAAUUCAUCAAUGUCAAUAUGUACUACAGUUUUUCCCCAACUGUGGUCUUUGAGACUUCCUCAGAUUGGGAGUUAUCAUUUCGUAGUUAUCCUUCUUCCUACUAGAUCAACACCUAGUUUUGAUCUUUUUCAACUGCUGUCAAACUUUCUUUGCUGCGUGUGAAGAUCAGCACCUUUUAGGAUUCAGUGGUGCAUAUGGAGGAACGGGAGAAGGGCAGCCUGAUAAAGUAUUUUUUUUUUCUGCAAUCUGGCAGCUUUGCAUUCUCUCCCUAUGGUCUUUAUCACUUCUCUCCCUUAUCCCUCUUCUAAUUGUCGUUUACUUUGUAGUAAUUGUUUCACUAUCGUUUCAUUGUCCCUUUCGCAAUGUUCUAAUCCUUUGUCCUCCAAAGGAAAAUCUCUGUUCUUACGCUUGUGCUUCUUUGAUUUUUUCCUCCACAGUUUAAGUGAAGUAGAGCUCCUCAAUCUACCCUACCACACUCAAGCAAACCCAGUAAAAAAGAAAGAAAAAGAAGGAUUAAUCAAACAAUUAUACAUACUACAGACAUAGAUAAAUAUAAUAAAAAACAAAAUUCAAUCAAAAACCCAUUUUCCAUACUACUACUACCACAUCUUGGUAUCCUUCUCUUCUCCUCACAGGCUUCGCUAUCCUCUUCUGCUUCUUUUUAAAGAUUUUAAGUCUGUUCCUCUGAAACUAAGCGUUUAUUAGAGAAUGCACAAAGUUGCUCAGGUCAUGAGUUCCUAUGAUGUUUUGUUCCUCCUUGGUUGGCAGCAGGCUCUGUUUUUCUUAAAUUUUGAGACCCCUUUAGCAGGCCACCAAUUAGUACAUAGCAACUUGCCUGGCUUAGUGUACUAAGUAGUACUAAAGGUUCUCUUCAGUUUCCCUUCGGCCUCAAGUACAUUGCUAUCUGCCUUUUACUUUUCAAAUUGGCCUUGUUUGAUUUAAAAUUUUCAUUUUUUUUUAUAUUUACCAUACUGAAGUCUAUUAUGUUUUAUGAAAAUGUUAAUUAUAAUGUUGAAUUGAAAAUUCGAGUUAUAUCCCUUGUGUCCAGAAAUAGUCAAAUUCUCUGCAUUUACAUUAAUGAAAGAACAGCAGUUCAUUGACAGAAUCUAAAUUUUGCAGUUAAAAACAAACCAUUCAAGUCAGCCUUAGGAGAGUCAGGUGUUUUGUCUCAUUAGUUGGCCUAAUCUACCUCAUGUUGUAAUAAUCUUCCUCAGGAUUUAGUAUUCUACCUGAAGUUGUAAAUAAUGUACCUCAGGUUGUAAUCAUUUGGAAAUGUAGCCUCAGGCAAACCUGUGUAAUUCUAGCUAGGUGACUUUGUGGUUGUUAAAAUCUGGACAUCAGAAUGAUUACAGUGCCUGAUUUUAUAUUUUAUUGAUGGAAUCAUUUCUGUGUUUGAUUUUUGAGUAAUUUCAUUUUUAAGAGUACAUUUUUAUUUUAGUAUUUUCAUUUGCAUAAGUUUUUUGCAUUUUUUAGCACUUCUGUUAUACCUUUUCUUGUUUAGUCCAAGGAAUACAAUUAAUGGUAUAGUUUUAUUUUUCAUUACUUAAUUACAAUUAAAAAUAGUGGCCAUGACUAAUGAUUACUCAGUUAAGAAGAAAUGUAGUGCAUUUUUUUACAUAUUAAAUGUUUAAUUUUUUGUGGUGAUUUGUGUACAUAGUUUUAUAGUACUGUAUAUUUUGAGAUUUCAGUGGUCAAGGGUGGUAAUGUGUCAAUGAUCAUUGUUUUUUGAAGGCUGUUAUCAACUGCCAAGAAUG